UGUGUAUCAGUACAUGGCAUAUCAAUAAGCGGAGGAAAAGAAACUAACUAGGAUUCCCUCAGUAACGGCGAGUGAAGCGGGAAGAGCUCAAAUUUGAAAUCUUCAAGGUUUUACCUUGACGAAUUGUAGUUUAAAGAAGUGUUUUCUGUUGGAGUUUUGGUAAAAGUUCUUUGGAAUAGGACAUCAUAGAGGGUGAGAAUCCCGUAUUUGACCAUUAUUUCCAGCUGUGUGAUACACUUUCAAAGAGUCGGAUUGUUUGGGAAUGCAGUCCAAAAUGGGUGGUAAAUUUCAUCUAAAGCUAAAUAUUGGCGAGAGACCGAUAGCGAACAAGUACCGUGAGGGAAAGAUGAAAAGAACUUUGAAAAGAGAGUUAAACAGUACGUGAAAUUGUCAAAGGGAAGCGUUUGACACCAGUGUUGUUUUCUCGAAAAUCAAUUAAAAAUGACCGGAUUUUGUGUUGUAUUGACUUUAUCAGCUUUCUGCACUUUUUUCUUGUCUUUUUUAAUGCACUUUUCGUUUAACAAGUCAACAUCAAUUUCUUUUGUUGUAAAAGGGUCAUUGGAAGGUGGCUUUCAUUUCGGUGAAAGUGUUUAUAGCCUUUGACUUCUGCAAUCGGAGAGAUUGAGGUCUGCAGCGUAGAUCCUUCGGGGUUAGAUACAUUGGUGCUAAGCUAUAGCCUUGUAUAGACAACUUGUUGACUAUGCUCAGUCAUGUAGCUUACUCGCUGAUGCUAUUUUACCUACGCUUAGGAUGUUGACAGCAGUAUAGACUGU
rnacentral:rRNA from 1 species